GCAGCCGCGGUAAUACGGAAGGUCCAGGCGUUAUCCGGAUUUAUUGGGUUUAAAGGGAGCGUAGGCGGAUUGUUAAGUCAGCGGUUAAAGGGUGUGGCUCAACCAUGCAUUGCCGUUGAAACUGGCGAUCUUGAGUGCAGACAGGGAUGCCGGAAUUCGUGGUGUAGCGGUGAAAUGCUUAGAUAUCACGAAGAACUCCGAUCGCGAAGGCAGGUGUCCGGGCUGCAACUGACGCUGAGGCUCGAAAGUGUGGGUAUCAAACAGGAUUAGAUACCCUGGUAGUCCACACAGUAAACGAUGUAUACUCGCGGUUUGCGAUAGAUUGUAAGCCGCCAAGCGAAAGCAUUAAGUAUACCACCUGGGGAGUACGCCGGCAACGGUGAAACUCAAAGGAAUUGACGGGGGCCCGCACAAGCGGAGGAACAUGUGGUUUAAUUCGAUGAUACGCGAGGAACCUUACCCGGGAUUGAA
rnacentral:rRNA from 1 species